UGGAAGAAGGGUUUCAGUUGUCU
rnacentral:misc_RNA from 1 species